UUGUCAAAAAGAAGAAUGGCAUGACAAGGAUCCACACGUUCUAUGGGGUCUCGUUUUGUGACGGGUGAAAAUCUUGUGCGGCGUGUGGCGAAUCUCUGCGCAGAGGCAGGUUAGACCUGAUGUUUGUAUUUUUGCGGAGAAGCACUGGCUGGCAAAUCUACAAGUGGGAGCGCGCUGUCACUGUUGGACUGGUCAAAACCGACUUCAGAAAUGGCUCAUUCUCUUUUAAUGCGACGCGCUAGUCAGGGACAACUAAGAGGCUCGACAAGGGGAAAGAAAAUCCGUAUCCUCGGGAUCCAGGACGUCCAACAGGCUCGUGCGACAGCUGCGAGGGAAGAGACGGUGUUGGAGGGGGCGGAUCUAAAAGGCCCGUCUGCGAACGCAAGGCAACUACCACAUAGGCCGAUGUUUAUGCUACAACUACUCCAAACCUGAGACCUGCAGUUAGGCUGCAUGUGGAAUAAGCAGCUUUUCCUCAGCAGGCCUGUGAGCCGAGCCGCCACUGGA